UACGGGGGGGGCAAGCGUUGUUCGGAAUUACUGGGCGUAAAGGGUGCGUAGGCGGCUUUCUAAGUUGGAUGUGAAAACUAUGGGCUCAACCCAUAGCCUGCAUCCAAAACUGGAAGGCUAGGGUUCUGGAGGGGAAAGCGGAAUUCCUGGUGUAGCGGUGAAAUGCGUAGAUAUCAGGAGGAACACCGGUGGCGAAGGCGGCUUUCUGGACCACAACUGACGCUGAGGCGCGAAAGCUAGGGGAGCAAACAGG
rnacentral:rRNA from 1 species